UAGAGUCCAGACGCCAAAUGAGGUGUGGCAAACACGAACGAGCCUAUGCCCAACAACAAAACACCGUAGCCGACCCAACGCGGUUUGCAUGCACCUUUACGACCUCCUAGAUAAGAAACUGGCAGAACCUAUACAUGAUCAAAAAUGAAGCAAUAUCAUAGCAGCCGAUGAUCAUGCCGCUGUCCGUUGACGUGAGUUCGUACCGCCGCUAGACGAAAACACACAGUUAACCGCGGAUACUACCAACUCUAACCAAAAGCAACAACAGACGGGUAGAAAAUGCAGGCGUUACUCACGCAAGGAGCCCUAGAUCUACUUGACAUCAAAAUAGUUAGGAUACUGCACAUCUUCCGUGUCGUAGCCGAACACAAAAAGUACUCAUUUGUUUACCUUGCCGAAGAAAAUGUGGAUGGCUGUGGGAAAGUUUAGCAAAGACGAGAUCCGCCACAGAAUAUGUCUUUUUGGCAAUCUGAUUCGUACUACACUGCAGGCGCUCGGUUUCGUUGGUAAGGCAACA